GGAGCUGUGCCUGAAAUAAAGGGCCACUUUGAUAGAGUGAACCAUGGGGGUUAGAGUCCCCCCGGCUCCU
rnacentral:tRNA from 1 species